rnacentral:lncRNA from 1 species
UUUUUUUUUUUUUUUGGUUUUUUUCGAGACAGGGUUUCUCUGUGUAGCCCUGGCUGUCCUGGAACUCACUUUGUAGACCAGGCUGGCCUCGAACUCAGAAAUCCUCCUGCCUCUGCCUCCCGAGUGCUGGGAUUAAAGGCGUGCACCACCACGCCCUACUGGUUGUGGUUUUCUGUAGUAGUCUCUUUUGCAAAGAGCCAUCUUGCAAAGUUCAAACAUACUAUCCAUGUUAAGUUUACAUGCCAAACGUAAAGUGUGCUUUAUGUGUUCGCUAUGGUGUUGUAUCUGAUCCAUGAAACUUCUGUUCAAAUCACUGCCCCAAAGCCCUGUGAUAGAUUCCAGUAAUGCACAUGUCAGUAGUUACAUUUUUAAAAAGUAUGCAAACAUUAAAACUCUUCAUGUAAGUUGUUCAGGCUUUAGAAAACUUUUGUUAGAUUGCAGGAUGAAGAAGACAGGGAGGAAAUAUAGCAUCCCCAUCUGAUAAUAGAAGACGGAGCUUUUCUGUUAAAGCUUGUUGUUGUUGUUGUUGUUGUUGUUCUACCCUGAUAUGGAGUUUCACUUUUUAGCCCAGGCUGGCUUCAAACUUAAAACCCUUGUCUCAGUCUCCCAUGAAAUAGACUUGUUCUAUCUAAAUCAACAUUUCUAAAGUUGGUUUAUUUAACUCACUCAUCCUACUUUUCUGAGGGGGUUUGUUUAUUUGUUUGUUGUUUGUUUGAUUGGUUGUUUUUGUUUUUGAGACAGGGUUUCUCUGUAUCACCUUGGCUAUCCCGCCUCCCGAGUGCUGAGGCUAACAGGCGAGAGACAGAAGGCCUGGCAAAUAUUUUUAGAAAUCUCCUUUUCAAAUCUGGUUGGUACCCACUUCUGCUGCAGUUGCUGUGGCCUAGUGUUUUGAAUUCUAUCCCAGCUACCAAUGAUAAGUGGUAUGGCUAAGAUUGUGUUCUUUGAAGAAAGCAUUCAAGUGACACAGGUAGCUUUGCUGUGACUGGCCCAGCAACAGCGUCACAGGGUGGAGAAGGAGGACUCGGGGGCAUCCUGACACGUUCCCAUGGACUCUCUCGUCAAAAAGCAUUCACAUUGUGCUUCUUACGCACUAGCGACUAUAUUAGAGACCCAAAGUACUAAAGUCUCAUUUCACAGGGGUUAGAGAGAAGGAAGCCUGACAUUUGAGCCAUCUCUUCACUGUUCCCAUCCUCUCCAAAGGAACUCUUCCUUCCCUAUCCCCCGCCUGAGUCAAAGGACUUUAAUCCAUUGGCUUCUUCCCAGAAAUGCUCUGGCUCAAGGGACAAACUUGCUCUUCAAGUUCCCAGUCACCUUUGAGCUGCAAAGUUCACAGUAUGCAAGGAAGAGUAGUCUGUGUUAAGCAAGUUCACACCUCCCCGGAAAGCCAUGUUCUCCUUUCUCCCAGAAUUACAGAAUUCUUUCUUAUAGUCCUUUCCUCAGAAUUUGAAGAAACCACUCGGGGCUUGUCCCACGAGUGAGUUUGCAUAUGUCUAAAAGGAAGACAAGAGCUAAUAAGGAAUGACAUUACUUAAGAUGGGUCUCAGUACUAUGCCCCUGAGCUUCAAGAUACAGUGGGUACCAUAUUGAGCUCUCUUCCUGCCUAGCUCCAAUAUACAGUGCAAAGGGGGAACAAAAGCAUACAGGAAAAUAAAUACUGCCUUGCAAAGGAAAUCUGUGCCCAAGAAUCCUAAAUGCAGAGCUCUGGUACAGCAUACUAUUCACUAGACCGAACCACUUGAAAUAUGCAGGGUACGUGGCCCACAGCCUGGGUGUAGGGACAACCAUGAGAGAACUGAGCCCAGUGCUAACAACAUGACGCAAAGACAGAGGUGAUUUCUGAAGCUCUGAUUCCCAUAAGCCAAAGUCCCAAUGCCACUUCCUUCUCUUUGUAGAAUUGAAUUACAGGACAAGGCUGGAUUCUAGUUUUCCUGUUUCACCCAAGCUACAGGAGGUCAUACUUGGGAGAGGAAGCCAAGAUGCAUGCAUGCUGGGCGUUUUAGUUUUUGUCUUUGUUGUUUUGUUUUGUUUUGUUUUGUUUUGUUUUGUUUUGUUUUGUUGAGACAAGGCCUUACUAUAUAGCUCAGGUUGACUUUAAACUCAAAGUGAUCUAUCUCAACUGGCCAAGUGCUAGGAUAACAGGCACCUGGCUGUAGAUCUACUUUCUAACAUUGAACUUAAGCCUCAUGUCCACAAGCCAGAGGGAUGGUCCACCCCUGCUUUCUUUCCUAGAAUCUCAGUCUGUAGAGCAUUCCUUCUUGCUAGGUUUUUUUUUUUUAUUCAUAUAAUUUCAUUAUCAGUAUCCAGGUUUCCCAAAGUAGUUAGCAAAACUACUUGUUCUGGUUUUUCCCUGCUAAUGCAGACAAGAGGUUGAGUGUGCAAAACAACAACCAGGGUACUGAACAAUCAACAAAAAUUACAGCAGAAAACUAACCAUAAACUUGAGAGUUUGGACUAAGCUGAGAAUAUGUUUCAGACACUCCAGGUGAGUUGGGUGGAGUGCCUAGUCUAGAGAAUGGGCCGUAAUAUGGGUACACAAAGCUCCUUUAAAAGUUAACACCCCCGACCCCCAAACACCAAUUCUGAUGAUUACUUCCUUCAGCUCCUAAGGGAGAUGUCACUAAUACAAAAUUGUUUUUAAAAUGAAAAUGGUUCAGGGUGGGCACAAAGUCAGAAAAAGUUGAAAUGAGUCAAAAACAUUAAAAGUUACUAAUUUGAAAAGUCAGAGGACUUUUUAUCAUGCAGAGAGAGAGAAGACAAAAGGUACUACAUAGUAGAGAGUGUACUGAACUAAGAACUAAAUUUAAAGUCUUUGAUCUGUGAGAUGUGUCUCAGACCUAGCCAAAACAGCCAGAUCCAAAGGCCAAUUUGACCAAAUAUGAUUUCUGCUACUUGGGCGGGGGUGGGGGUGGGGGAUGGGAAAGACUCCAGUGACAGUGUAGAAGGAGAUGGUAUAAAACCCUCACCCUUUUUCUGCUUUGGAUCAGAGAAGACUAUAAAACACUUAACUAAGUUGUUUUUUUUUUUUUUUUCCUUUUUUCUUGCUAUGCCUACUAAAUGAAUUGGUCUGGUCUGGUCUGGUCUGGUCUGGUCUGGUCUGGUCUGGUCUGGUCUGGUCUGGUCUGGUCUGGUUUGGUUUGGUUCCGUUCGGUUCAGUCUGGUUCGGUUUGGUCUGGUUUAGUGGUGCAGGGGGUGGACCCUAGGGACCACUAGCAGCAUCCUCUGGCUAAGCCACAUUACACCUCUAGUCCCAGAAGACUUUCUUGGUAGAGCCUCCAUGUAAUGAGCUUUGCAUAGUCUACCUUAAAAAAACAAAUUUAAAAGCAGACAUACAUCCUCUCUAGGAAUAGGCCAAUCGUGUCUCAUUCUCGGAACUGGAUUUUUAGUGGUACCAGCUGCAUCCCAGCCAGCUUUCAAUGCUUAUGUUUUCUUGCCCCCAGGUUCCUAAUUAUU